GCUUGCGGCCGCCAUGGCGGCCGCGGGAAUUCGAUUAGAGUUUGAUCAUGGCUCAGGACGAACGCUGGCGGCGCGCCUAACACAUGCAAGUCGAGCGAGAACCAGGACUUCGGUCCUGGGGACAGCGGCAGACGGGUGAGUAACGCGUGGGAACAUACCUCUUGGUUCGGAACAACACAGGGAAACUUGUGCUAAUACCGGAUAAGCCCUUACGGGGAAAGAUUUAUCGCCAAAAGAUCGGCCCGCGUCUGAUUAGCUAGUUGGUGGGGUAAUGGCCCACCAAGGCUACGAUCUGUAGCUGGUCUGAGAGGACGACCAGCCACACUGGGACUGAGACACGGCCCAGACUCCUACGGGAGGCAGCAGUGGGGAAUCUUGCGCAAUGGGCGAAAGCCUGACGCAGCAACGCCGCGUGGGGGACGAAGGCCUUCGGGUUGUAAACCCCUUUCAGCAGGGACGAAAAUGACGGUACCUGCAGAAGAAGCCCCGGCCAACUACGUGCCAGCAGCCGCGGUAAUACGAAUCACUAGUGAAUUCGCGGCCGCCUGCAGGUCGACCAUAUGGGAGAGCUCCCAACGCGUUGGAUGC
rnacentral:rRNA from 1 species